rnacentral:sRNA from 1 species
UCUAGAGGACUCAGGCCCCGAAGCUGUCCCAGGGAGGUCCCCGCUGCAUCCCAUCACCCAAACUGUGCCUCAUGGAGUCGAUGUUUAGCAGCCCUGCCGAGGCGGCGCUGCAGCGAGAGGCCGGGAUGCCAGGACUGCUCACUCCUCUUCCGGACCUGGACCGAGUGUACGAGCUGGAGCGAGUCGCUGGAUUUGUCCGCGACCUGGGGUUGCCUUGCAGUUCCCUGACCAGCUAUUGGGAGAUGCUGUGGCUGUGGCUGCACGACUGGAGGAGACGACAGGGUCAAAGAUGUUCAUUCUGGGUGACACAGCCUACGGCAGGUGUGAACUUGGCCUUAGGUGGGCCAGGCCUGGGGAUCCGGGGCUCAUGGGGUUUUACUUCUAUGACAGUGAUUGCCUUCAAUGGUGGUGUUUCUCCUUGAUGAUAAUGGUAAUGACUCCCCUCCUGAUGCUAGCUCCCUUCAUUGACAAUGUCUUCCUUUAGUGAAACCAUUUUAUUCACUGACCACAUUUCCCAGUGAUGACAGCAACUCGCCUCCAGAAGAAAACCCAUUUUUCUGAUGCUAUCUCCCUUGCAGCUGCUGCGUGGAUGUGCUGGGUGCUGAGCAAGCUGGAGCUCAGGCUGUCAUACAUUUUGGCCCUGCCUGCUUAAGCCCCCCAGCCCGCCCACUGCCCGUCACCUUCGUGCUUUGUCGACGUUCUGUGGCCUUGGAGC